GGAUGUAGGUCAGUGGUAGAGCUCUUGCCUAACAUGCACAAGGCCUUGGGUUCAAUCCCAGCACCA
rnacentral:tRNA from 1 species